GAGCUGAACUGUGAGAAAAUAUUCUUGGAGGGGGGCAGAUUCUAGUCUGGGGGACCAUUUUCCGGUGAGGAGCUGUUGGAGAGGAUCCAUUGGGUAGCUGUUUUAGAGAAAGGGGUAAAGAGGGAAGGCUGUUUUUGAGAGAGAGAGAGUAAGUGUGUCUUGGAGGACAAGAAAGCAGAGCAGAGAAGAAGAAGAGCAGAGGAGAAGAAGAAGCUGGGAGUUCUCGCUGGCUUUGGAGGAAGAAAGAGUGCUUGAAGACGAGCACACCUUGCUCGGGGAGGAAACUUCCAGGAUGCAGGGGAGGAAAAGGGGUGUGAUGAUUAUUUGUUGAGGUCAUUGGGGUUGUGACACAGUACAAUGGUGCCUUCAAUGAUGGACUUACAUAGAAUUUUUGGCCCCCAUCAUAUCUCCGUUUACAUGGUGGAAAAGCCUAUUAUGGUGUGUAAAGUGAUCUGCUGUUCCAAGGGAUGUCCUGUUGCAGCUUCACUCGCUGGUUUUCAAGCUUGAAGCCUCAACACCUCAGAGUUUGGAGUAAAAUGUUGUCAAACUCUGCUUUUUGCUUCAUCUUUUCUAAUAUUUCCAUCUUAUCAUCAUUUUAUCCAUGAAGGGGGAAGGAAAAUUUUGAUGUAAACAAAGUUAAUACUAUUGCUGGAUUCAGUGAAUAUUGUAUUUAGUAUACAUAAGUUAUCUGUACUAUGAGACCAUUGGAGGGGUCCUAAUCACUUUCUAUUUGCUGAAUUGAUAUAUUUUUUUCUCACA